AUGCUAUGCACAAGGCUUCACAUUCCUCUUGAGUUUCAAAUCUGUUCUUGUUGCCUCCACAGCCGCCAUACCAGAAUGGACUGCAGACUUUCUGCUCUUUGUCAUAAUACCACUUCAGAUCGUAAUCUUGACACUCUCCUCCAUCAUGAUCCACUGCACAAGCAUCUAAAAAAGCCUAUUGCAUAAUAUAAAGAAAAUCUGCAAUGAAAUACACACAGCUAGAUGGAAAGUGAAAGGUUAUCAUUGGCAGGGUAUGAUGAGCCUCUGUUUGGAUGGGGACAUACCUGAUGGAUGACUCAGUCCCUUGUGCAAGAAC
rnacentral:lncRNA from 1 species